rnacentral:lncRNA from 1 species
GCCUACAGUAAACUCUUGAGGGUGACCUGUGACAGUGGACCAUGCCCCAGACAACGAGUAACCCCCCAGGCUUGUGCAUUGGUGCCAAAACCAUUCCAGAGAGAAAGCAGAUAUAUUCAUGCAAUGGUAUACUGGACCCUUCUCCAGGGCGUAGGUACAAGCAGGCCUAUCCUUUCAGGUAUAGGUGGAAAUGGAGGAAGAAGUCCAAAAAAAAACCGCCACCAGCCCCACCUCUGCCAUCAUAUGAGGAAGAAAACUGGGAGGAGGAGAUAGGAAGCUUUGAGACAUAUGGAUUUGCUCCAUAUGGCCCAGAGGAUGUGGAUAGAGUGGCCCUACAGGGGUUGACCCUGAACCAGACUCCCUGCCCUCCCCACCCCCAGACAGCAACCGACUACAGCCCUGCGACCCACCACCAAGCCCCCGUCAAAUGGGUUCGCCACAUCAUCCGCAGCGUGGAGGAGCAGUUUGUCGACGCAGAGGAUUGAGGUCCGGGUUAUUUCUCUGCUGUAGCAAACCGCCGACCCCUCCCACCCUCUACACCCUCCGUUUGAGAGACUUCCCUCUGGCCGGCGCCCAUGGCCAAGAAGAACGUGUUCGAACAUUUAUUGGUUCCUUGUGCUGUUGGACUACUAAAUGCAAAGUCAAUUGUGUCAGUAUAUGUCCUUAUUUAUCUAGUGCAGUUUGGGACAGCGGUCAGUUGUGAGUGAAUGUAUCAAAUGUCCUCUUGUGUUUUUAGUGUAUGCAAUGUGAUGGACUGACUGGUUUAAAUGUGUAUGAAAUGAGACUGUAUGUGAUCCUUUUAAUGGAAGGUGAUGCCGAAGAACAACAACAUCCAACCUGGAUGGAUGGACAAAGUUUUAUUCUAUUCUAAAUCAAGAUCCUACAUCUGUAGGCCAAUCUACAUUCUACAGUGCAUAUCUAACCAAAACAUCUGUAGGCCAAUCUACAUUCUACAGUGCAUAUCUAACCAAAACAUCUGUAGGCCAAUCUACAUUCUACAGUGCGUUUCUA